UCAGAUUGCAGGCUGCAACUCGCCUGCAUGAAGUUGGAAUUGCUAGUAAUCGCGAAUCAGAAUGUCGCGGUGAAUACGUUCCCGGGUCUUGUACACACCGCCCGUCACACCACGAGAGUUUACAACACCCGAAGUCAGUGGCCUAACCGCAAGGAGGGAGCUGCCCAAGGUGGGGUAGAUGAUUGGGGUGAAGUCGUAACAAGGUAGC
rnacentral:rRNA from 1 species